CCUACGGGCGGCAGCAGUGAGGAAUAUUGGUCAAUGGACGAGAGUCUGAACCAGCCAAGUCGCGUGAAGGAUGACUGCCCUAUGGGUUGUAAACUUCUUUUAUAAAGGAAUAAAACGAGGCACGUGUGCCUUUUUGCAUGUACUUUAUGAAUAAGCAUCGGCUAACUCCGUGCCAGCAGCCGCGGUAAUACGGAGGAUCCGAGCGUUAUCCGGAUUUAGUGGGUUUAAAGGGAGCGUAGAUGGGUUGUUAAGUUAGUUGUGAAAGUUUGCGGCUCAACCGUAAAAUUGCAAUUUAUACUGGCAGUCUUGAGUACAGUUGAGGUAGGCGGAAUUCGUGGUGUAGCGGUGAAAUGCUUAGAUAUUACGAAGAACCCCGAUUGCGAAGGCAGCUUACUAAACUGUGACUGACAUUGAUGCUCGAAAGUGUGGGUAUCAAACAGGAUUAGAUACCCCUGUAGUC
rnacentral:rRNA from 1 species